AGAGUUUGAUCACUGGCUCAGAACAACGGCUGGCGGCAUGCCUAACGCAUGCAAGUCGAACGGGAUCCUGGCUUCGGUCAGGUGAGAGUGGCGGACGGGUGAGUAACGCGUGGGAACCUGCCCAGUGUGGGGGGAUAACUGCGGGAAACUGCAGCUAAUACCGCAUGAGCCCGAGAGGGAAAGAUUUAUCGCCAUUGGAGGGGCCCGCGUUCGAUUAGGUAGUUGGUGAGGUAACGGCUCACCAAGCCGACGAUCGAUAGCUGGUCUGAGAGGAUGAUCAGCCACACUGGGACUGAGAUACGGCCCAGACUCCUACGGGAGGCAGCAGUGGGGAAUAUUGGACAAUGGGGGCAACCCUGAUCCAGCAAUGCCGCGUGAGUGAUGAAGGCCUUCGGGUUGUAAAGCUCUUUUGGCGGGGACGAUGAUGACGGUACCCGCAGAAUAAGCCCCGGCUAACUUCGUG
rnacentral:rRNA from 1 species